CGGAGGAUGCAAGCGUUAUCCGGAUUUAUUGGGUUUAAAGGGUGCGCAGGUUGUUUGAUAAGUCAGUGGUGAAAGUCUGUCGCUUAACGGUAGGAUUGCCAUUGAUACUGUUGGACUUGAAUAUGGAUGAGGUAGGCGGAAUGUGUAGUGUAGCGGUGAAAUGCAUAGAUAUUACACAGAACACCGAUUGCGAAGGCAGCUUACUAAUCCAUCAUUGACGCUGAGGCACGAAAGCGUGGGGAUCAAACA
rnacentral:rRNA from 1 species